UACGAAGGGGGCUGGCGUUGCUCGGAAUCACUGGGCGUAAAGGGCGCGUAGGCGGCGUUUUAAGUCGGGGGUGAAAGCCUGUGGCUCAACCACAGAAUGGCCUUCGAUACUGGGACGCUUGAGUCUGGUAGAGGUUGGUGGAACUGCGAGUGUAGAGGUGAAAUUCGUAGAUAUUCGCAAGAACACCGGUGGCGAAGGUGGCCAACUGGACCAGCACUGACGCUGAGGCGCGAAAGCGUGGGGAGCAAACAGG
rnacentral:rRNA from 1 species